AGUGGACGCUGGCGGUAGGCCUAACACAUGCAAGUCGAACGGCAGCACAGUAAGAGCUUGCUCUUACGGGUGGCGAGUGGCGGACGGGUGAGGAAUACAUCGGAAUCUACUUUUUCGUGGGGGAUAACGUAGGGAAACUUACGCUAAUACCGCAUACGACCUACGGGUGAAAGCAGUGGAUCUUCGGACCUUGCGCGAUUGAAUGAGCCGAUGUCGGAUUAGCUAGUUGGCGGGGUAAAGGCCCACCAAGGCGACGAUCCGUAGCUGGUCUGAGAGGAUGAUCAGCCACACUGGAACUGAGACACGGUCCAGACUCCUACGGGAGGCAGCAGUGGGGAAUAUUGGACAAUGGGCGCAAGCCUGAUCCAGCCAUACCGCGUGGGUGAAGAAGGCCUUCGGGUUGUAAAGCCCUUUUGUUGGGAAAGAAAAGCAGCAGGUUAAUACCCCGCUGUUCUGACGGUACCCAAAGAAUAAGCACCGGCUAACUUCGUG
rnacentral:rRNA from 1 species